AGUUACCGCGCCGAUUUACACACAAAAGAUCAGUAAGCACAGUUGCCAGUUGCCAAAAAGUGAAGUGAUCGCUCAAAUUGGUCGGUCUUUCUUAAUGAAUAUGGCAACGUUUUCCGCAGUCCAGUUCCAGAUAUUAGGUUAACCGUCAAGUUAGCCUUGAGAAAGUCUAUAAAUAGUCUCGUCACUUGAUAUUCAAGCAUGGUCAAAAUUUUGAACAAGAGUUUGAGCUGCAUGUGCCGAAGAAGCAAUUGGAAAAUGGUGUGAGAUUUCGAAUAUGUAAUUUGCAGGGAAAUUAUUUUCAAGAUGGUAUGAUCUUUGUGCAGCAGAAAAUCUGAAGCAACUUCAUCUGUGAAUGUGAGGUUAGAUAAUCUAGCUACAGGUUUAUCUGGAUGCUAGUCUUUGAGAGGUCAGCUGGCUGCCUUCGUUGGGAAUUCUUUGGGUCUUCCGAUAGAACCAAGCUAAAGGUGUAGUUGUAUGGUUGUGGCAAUAAGCUUCUGGUCUCUGAGGAUGCCUGGAUGCAAGUCUGCAGUUGAGAUCAAUGCUGUACGUACCAGCUGGUGACUUUAUUCAAUGAGAUGAUUUAUUCUCAAAUAAAAAUGGCACCUUCGUUUCCCUACCGACUGCUAGUUUCAAGGGUUUCACCUAAUGAUACUUUCAACAUAUUUAAUGGAAUUCUUUGUUGAGGGAUUGAUGGAUUUCAUUGUUUGAAAUGGUAUGGUUGGGUGACUUACUGCAAGUUUCUUAAUAUAACUGACACUGGCUGCCUUUUUGGUGUUAAGGAAGUAACGACUUGAGGUAGUCUUGGGAAUCAUACCUCAGUGCCUGAGGAAGCCUGGAUCGUCUGCUCUUGAAGGUGAUUUAUUUUCGGGCUUGAGCUGAUGCACAUGGUGUCUUGUUUCCAUAUCGACUGCUUGCUUCAAGUGCGUUCGUCGCUUCAAGGCUUCUGGCUCCGUCGUGUCGGUUUUUUCACUUGCGUCGCUAGGGUUAACAAGGAACUGAAGCUGUCGGUCAACAGCAGGAUCGAUGCGUGUGGCCUGGUUCGCUAGGUAUUUGGAAAAUGGCCGUAGGUUCCAAUCGUGAUGUAGUAUUCGUAAUGUGUAUGGACUCGUUUGAAUAAACCUGUUUUGC
rnacentral:lncRNA from 1 species